GGUUCUGUAGUUUAUAUAAGAUAGUAAGUUGCAGCCUUAAAGAAAGAUAGUGUUAUUUCAGAACCU
rnacentral:tRNA from 1 species